rnacentral:misc_RNA from 1 species
AACGCACAUUGCGCCCGCCAGUAUUCUGGCGGGCAUGCCUGUUCGAGCGUCAUUUCAACCAUCAAGCCCCCGGCUUGCGUUGGGGACCUGCGGCUGCCGCAGGCCCUGAAAACCAGUGGCGGGCUCGCUAGUCACUCCGAGCGUAGUAGUUACAUCUCGCUCAGGGCGUGCUGCGGGUUCCGGCCGUUAAAAGCCUUAUUUACCCAAGGUUGACCUCGGAUCAGGUAGGAAGACCCGCUGAACUUAA